rnacentral:lncRNA from 1 species
CAAUGUCCCCAAAUGUUCCAAAUCCCCAAAUGUCCCAAAUGUCCCCCAAUGUCCCCAAUGAUCCCAGUGUCCCAAACAUCCCCAAUGUUCCAAAUCCCCAAAGGUCCCCAAGGUCCCAAAUGUCCCCAAUGCCCCCAAUGUCCCAAAUGUCCCCAAUAUCCCCAAUAUCCCAAAUGUCCCAAAUGUCCCCAGUGUCCCCAAUGUCUCCAAUGUCCCCAAUGUCCCUUCUGAUGUCCCCUCUGAUGUCCCCUCUGAUGUCCCCAAUGUCCCCAACAUCCCUAAUGUCCCCAAUAUUCCCAAUGCCCCAAAUGUCCCCUCUGAUGUCGCCAAUGUCCCCAAAUGUCCCCAAACCCCCCAACAUCCCCAAUGUCCCCAAUGCCCCCAAAUGUCCCCAACGUCCCCAAUGUCUCCAAUGUCCCCAAUGCUCCCAAAUGUCCCAAAUGUCCCCAACGUCCCCAAUGUCCCCAAUGUCCCCAAUGAUCCCAACAUCUGCAAUGUCCCCAAUGUCCCCAAUCCCCUCAAUGUCCCCAAUGUCCCCUCUGAUGUCCCCUCUGAUGUCCCCAAUGUCCCCUCUGAUGUCCCCUCGUUGUCCCCAGCGCCCCCUGGGCUCCCGCAGUCAGGACCUGCUGGGACAUGGCUGAUGUCCCCAAUCCCCCCAAAUGUCCCCAAUGUCCUCAACAUUCCAAAUGUCCCCAAUGUCCCCAAUGUCCCCUCUGAUGUCCCCAAUGUCCCCUCUGAUGUCCCCUCGUUGUCCCCAGCGCCCCCUGGGCUCCCGCAGUCAGGACCUGCUGGCCGGGCCGGCUCCGCAGCGCCUCCUGUUGGCGUUCCGGGAGCGCCUGGCGGCCAUCACGGAGCGCAUCCAGGCCCGGAACGCGGCGCUGGCGCUGCCCUACCCCUACCUGGAGCCCACCUGCGUGCAGGAGAGCAUCUCCAUCUGAGGGCACCCGUGACACCCCCUCUGUCACCUGUGUGUCACCUGUGCCACCCACCUGUGUCACCUGUGUGUCACCUGUGUGUCACCUGU